rnacentral:rRNA from 1 species
AGAGUUUGAUCCUGGCUCAGGACGAACGCUGGCGGUGUGCUUCACACAUGCAAGUCGAACGGAGUAGCAAUACUCAGUGGCGGACGGGUGAGUAACACGUGGGAAUCUACCAUUAGGUGGGGAAUAACAGGCCGAAAGGACUGCUAAUGCCGCAUAUGUAGGCAUCUCGACAGAGAUGUUUAUGAAAGGAGUAAUCCGCCUUUUGAUGAGCCCGCGUCCGAUUAGCUAGUUGGUAGGGUAAAAGCCUACCAAGGCGACGAUCGGUAGGUGGUCUGAGAGGAUGAUCACCCACAAUGGGACUGUGACACGGCCCAUACUCCUACGGGAGGCAGCAGUGGGGAAUUUUACGCAAUGGGGGAAACCCUGACGUAGCGACACCGCGUGAGCGAAGAAGCCCUUUGGGGUGUAAAGCUCUGUCAACAGGAACGAAACAAAUGACGGUACCUGUGGAGGAAGCAUCGGCUAACUACGUGCCAGCAGCCGCGGUAAGACGUAGGAUGCAAGCGUUGUCCGGAUUUAUUGGGCGUAAAGAGUUCGUAGGCGGUUUGUUAAGUCUGAUGUUAAAGACCGGGGCUCAACCUCGGAAAUGCAUUGGAUACUGGCAGACUGGAGUGCAGUAGAGGCUAGUGGAAUUCCCAGUGUAGCGGUGAAAUGCGUA